rnacentral:tRNA from 1 species
GGAUAGCUCAGUUGGUUAGAACAUGGUGCUAAUAACACCAAGGUUGCAGGUUUGAUUCCCGUAUGGGACA